UUGGAGGGCAAGUCUGGUGCCAGCAGCCGCGGUAAUUCCAGCUCCAAUAGCGUAUAUUAAAGUUGUUGCAGUUAAAAAGCUCGUAGUUGAAUUUCGGGGUUAGUAGGUUGGUCAUGCCUCUGGUAUGUACUGGUCUCACUGAUUCCUCCUUCCUGAUGAACCUUAAUGCCAUUAAUUUGGUGUUUUGGGGAAUUUGGACUGUUACUUUGAAAAAAUUAGAGUGUUUAAAGCAAGCUAACGCUUGAACACAUUAGCAUGGAAUAAUGAAAUAGGACGUUCGAUCCUAUUUUGUUGGUUUCUAGGAUUGAUGUAAUGAUUAAUAGGGAUAGUUGGGGGCAUUAGUAUUCAAUUGUCAGGGGUGAAAUUCUUGGAUUUAUUGAAGACUAACUACUGCGAAAGCAUUUGCCAAGGAUGUUUUCAUUAAUCAAGAACGAAAGUUAGGGGAUCGAAGACGAUCAGAUACCGUCGUAGUCUUAACCAUAAACUAUGCCGACUAGGAAUCGGAUGAUGUUAAUUUUUUAAUGACUCAUUUGGCGCCUUACGGGAAACCAAAGUGUUUGGGUUC
rnacentral:rRNA from 1 species